GCCCUGCCCCUCACAGAUGCUUGAUCAACAUUAGCUACUAUCAGUUCAGAAACACAGACGUGCUCAACCUCAAGUAAUUUCCAGAACAUUACUUCCCAUCUUAUCUUCUGUGUUUGGUUUCAUUGCUUUUAUAACUUCUCAGAUAGCAGUCUCCUGGUCUGAUAACCCUCUCCUUGUGCCCCUGAAGGACAGCAGGACUCUGACCUGGCUUGGGAGUGAGCUGUACUGAGGAGAGUACCCUUCCCUAAGGAGCAGCCAACAGAGGCUGGGAGACAGACAGACAGCUCAGGCUGAAGCAACACUCUUUCGGACUGGAACGCAGACGCAGGCUGUUGGGAAAACUUGAGAUCCCACUGCUGACAACAUGACGCAAGGAACGCCAGAGAGCUCAAGCUUUAUUGAGGACACCAUUGAGUAUUUCAGGGACUCCAUGAGCCGGGAUGAACUGCAUCUCCUACUGACUGACCAGAAAGCCUGGGAGAACUUCCUGGCUGAGGCCACCCUG